rnacentral:rRNA from 1 species
CCUGACGUAGACGCUAUUCCCUAAGAUUAACCCAUGCAUGUUAUUGAAGAUAUUUAAUAUCGAAAAAUGGACUGCUCAGUAAUACUUACUUUAUUUUAUGUAUACAGACUAUAACUACGUUAAAGUGUAGAUAAUAUGUAUACAAUAAGAGUAAGACCUAUCAGCUAGUUGUUAAGGUAAUGGCUUAACAAGGCAGUGACGGGUAACGGUAUUACUUUGUAAUAUUCCGGAGAAGGAGCCUGAGAGACGGCUACUAAGUCUAAGGAUUGCAGCAGGGGCGAAACUUGACCUAUGGAUUUAUUCUGAGGCAGUUAUGGGAAGUAAUUUAUUGUUUCAUAUUUUAAAAAUAUAUGAGGUGAUUAAUUGGAGGGCAAAUCAAGUGCCAGCAGCCGCGGUAAUACUUGUUCCAAGAGUGUGUAUGAUGAUUGAUGCAGUUAAAAAGUCCGUAGUUUAUAUUUAAGAAGCAAUAUGAGGUGUACUGUAUAGUUGGGAGAGAGAUGAAAUGUGACGACCCUGACUGGACGAACAGAAGCGAAAGCUGUACACUUGUAUGUAUUUUUUGAACAAGGACGUAAGCUGGAGGAUCGAAGAUGAUUAGAUACCAUUGUAGUUCCAGCAGUAAACUAUGCCAACGAUGUGAUAUGAAUUUAUUUGUAUUACAUAAUAGAAAUUAGAGUUUUUUGGCUCUGGGGAUAGUAUGAUCGCAAGAUUGAAAAUUAAAGAAAUUGACGGAAGAAUACCACAAGGAGUGGAUUGUGCGGCUUAAUUUGACUCAACGCGAGGUAACUUACCAAUAUUUUAUUAUUUUGAGAGAAUUUAUUUAAUUUGAGAAUGAUAAUAGUGGUGCAUGGCCGUUUUCAAUGGAUGCUGUGAAGUUUUGAUUAAUUUCAACAAGACGUGAGACCCUUUUAUUUUAUAGACAGACACAAUCAGUGUAGGAAGGAAAGGAUUAAAACAGGUCCGUUAUGCCCUCAGACAUUUUGGGCUGCACGCGCAAUACAAUAGAUAUAUAAUCUUUAUGGGAUAAUAUUUUGUAAGAGAUAUUUGAACUUGGAAUUGCUAGUAAAUUUUAUUAAAUAAGUAGAAUUGAAUGUGUCCCUGUUCUUUGUACACACCGCCCGUCGCUAUCUAAGAUGAUAUGUGUUGUGAAAUUAGUGAAAACUACUUAAACAAUAUGUAUUAGAUCUGAUAUAAGUCGUAACAUGGUUGCUGUUGGA